AGUUAUGCUACGGACCAUUUAAAAUUAAUUACGAUUUUCGAUUCAUUCAAUUAUAUUUCAUUAAAAAUACCCCUCUAGAAAAUUCUUUGGAGACGCCUAUUUAAUCGCCUAGGUGCCUAUUUUCGCAGCGAAGCAAGAGGAAAGCACCGCGCAUGUUUCUAUCGGAUCGAUACGAAUCGAUUUCCGAUAACAUUGAACAGCAGUUGGUCAGGAAACGGCUCGAAGGGCGGAUGGCGCGCCGCGAGUGAGGUUAUUCUCACUUUUAAGUGACGGGAUUGAAACAAAUUUUCGAUGGAAAUCAAAUAAUUAGAAGGAAAUUAAGCGUCAGCUAAUCCCAUCUACAAAACUAGAUAACCAAAGUUAAACAUGUCUUUGGACUUCUUCACAUAACAGAAGUGGAUAUUCCGGCGUGCCUGCCUUGUUUCAAUCCCGUAACUUAGUUAUUUAGUCACACAACGUGACUCUAUCACGUUAAUUAUGUACUAGUUAGAUUGCUAGCCACUCUGUGAUGGUUUAUCCCUAGAGUGGGCUGUUUUUGUUGGAUAAUACACCAUACCUGAUUUUACUACAACCAGCAUCUUCACCCAGGACCUUGCAGUAGGACUUACUCACCACAGCAGCCAACCAGCGUUAGCGUGCCAAAAGAAUUCAUCUCUAUGGACUUGCAACCCUACUUUUAACCGGCUGUUGUGUAAAAGCUAAGUUUAUUUACUUUUUCUGUAUUUACUUUUGGGUAAGAUAUAUUUGCUACAUUGUAAACUUUUCGUAUGCAUACGAUUAGGAAGAGUACAUAUAUUUUCGUGAUAGAUAGGGUUUUAGGUUGUGUUUUUUUUUUCUUUUUGAUUCAGUAUAAGUAGGAGUUAGUUAAAAUAAAUAAAAUCAGGUCUUGUUUAAUAAUCAUAAAUAAUUGUAUCUUAAAAUUUAAUAGGGAAUCGGGUUGUAAAAUUUUGUCGCGGAUUUUAAAUAGGGAAUACGUCUCGUAGGUUUUUUUUGUAAAAUAUAUAAAGAGUCACUGACCAACUCAUUUAUAUAGACCUUUUUGCUAUUCCAACGGACUUUUGAUUUGGAUUUUGAUUUUAAUACUUUUGCUUGGCCAGUGAUAGUGGAUAAUUGCUUGUUGAGUGGCCUUUGCCGUCCUAUUUUAUCUUUUCCCCAUCCACUAUCACUGUUAUUACGUUGCGUUAUAUGUAAAGUGUUAUUAUUUAAUAUUUAUUAUUAAUAUAUUUGUAUGUAUUAA
rnacentral:lncRNA from 1 species